rnacentral:miRNA from 1 species
AUAGUACUAGUACUUGCAUGAUCA